rnacentral:rRNA from 1 species
GAUGAACGCUGACAGAAUGCUUAACACAUGCAAGUCGAUGGGGAAGUGGUGCUUGCACCAUGGUAACCAUGGCGGACGGGUGAGUAACGCGUAAGGAACUUGCCUGCGGGACUGGGAUAACAGCAGGAAACUGCUGAUAAUACCGGAUAAGGUCAUUAAGCUGCAUAGCUUAGUGAUGAAAGGAGACGCCUGCGGAGAGCCUUGCGUCCUAUUAGCUAGUUGGAGGGGUAACGGCCCACCAAGGCGAAGAUAGGUAGCCGGCCUGAGAGGGUGGACGGCCACAAGGGGACUGAGAUACGGCACUUACUCCUACGGGAGGCAGCAGGGGGGAAUAUUGGACAAUGGGGGCAACCCUGAUCCAGCAAUUCUGUGUGCACGAAGACGGUUUUCGGAUUGUAAAGUGCUUUCAGCAGGGAAGAAGGAAGUGACGGUACCUGCAGAAGAAGCGACGGCUAAAUACGUG